rnacentral:rRNA from 1 species
CCUACGGGAGGCAGCAGUGAGGAAUAUUGGUCAAUGGGCGAAAGCCUGAACCAGCCAAGUAGCGUGAGGGAUGAAGGCCCUAUGGGUUGUAAACUUCUUUUGCAUGGGAAUAAAAUCCUCCACCUGUGGAGUUUUGCAUGUACCGUACGAAUAAGGGACGGCUAAUUCCGUGCCAGCAGCCACGGUAAUACGGAGGGUCCGAGCGUUAUCCGGAUUUAUUGGGCUUAACGGGGGCGUAGGGGGAGAGUUAAGUCAGUUGGAAAAUUUUGGGGCUCAACCGCGAAACUGCAGUUGAAACUGGCAGCCUUGAGUGCAGGAGAGGCAGGCGGAAUUCGUGGUGUAGCGGUGAAAUGCGUAGAUAUCACGAGGAACCCCGAUUGCGAAGGCAG